rnacentral:snRNA from 1 species
AUUGCUUCUCGGCCUUUUGGCUAAGAUCAAGUGUAGUAUCUAUAUGCUUUAAAUGAAUUUUAUCAUUUCCUGGUCACAAGAGUGAGCCUUU